rnacentral:rRNA from 1 species
ACUCCUACGGGAGGCAGCAGUGGGGAAUAUUGCACAAUGGGCGCAAGCCUGAUGCAGCCAUGCCGCGUGUAUGAAGAAGGCCUUCGGGUUGUAAAGUACUUUCAGCAGUGAGGAAGGUAUCGUAGUUAAUAGCUGCGGUAUUUGACGUUAGCUGCAGAAGAAGCACCGGCUAACUCCGUGCCAGCAGCCGCGGUAAUACGGAGGGUGCGAGCGUUAAUCGGAAUUACUGGGCGUAAAGCGCAUGCAGGUGGUUUGUUAAGUCAGAUGUGAAAGCCCGGGGCUCAACCUCGGAAUUGCAUUUGAAACUGGCAGACUAGAGUACUGUAGAGGGGGUAGAAUUUCAGGUGUAGCGGUGAAAUGCGUAGAGAUCUGAAGGAAUACCGGUGGCGAAGGCGGCCCCUGGACAGAUACUGACACUCAGAUGCGAAAGCGUGGGAGCAAACAGGAUUAGAUACCCCUGGUAGCACAGAG